rnacentral:lncRNA from 10 species
AAAGGGUUCUACAAGGAAGGUUUAUGAAAACCUUGAGAAUAAAAAUGCAGAAUAAUCAUAUCCUUAUAGAUUGUAUCAAGACGACAGAAAUUGUAUGAUCAGACCCCUGACCAUCGCCUCAGCUCAUCAUUGCGUCAUCUGGAUGGCUUCCCUAAGCUCCCACCUGGGCCCAGAAAGGAAACGGCUUAUGACCUGCAGUCUUUGACUAUCACCAUCUCCAUUCUAUUUAUGGCCCUGCUGCACCUCUGUGCAAAUUAGGAGAAGGUGACCCUCUUGUGGGGAUGGAGGAGAAGGACAAACCAGGCCGUGAUCUGGCCAGUAAAGUGGGACUGGGCUGGCUCCUGGUGGGCUUUGGUAAGGUGUAACCUGCACCAUGGUCAUUACUGCCCAAAAUGAGAGCCAUCAGCUUGCUAAGAAUCGCUGAGCCCGGAGCGCCACUCUUGGGUGAAGAUGCUUCUUUCAGAUCCCCGCCUACCCACCUGCAAGGCUUGCAGGAAGUCUUGAGAAGAACCAAGAAGGAGGCUGAUGCUCCUAGUUGUUCAUGAGCAGCCAAUGUGGUAGGCUGAUGCCUAACAGUUUCCACCUUCUUCUGCAUUUGUGGCUGAGGAUCUACCCAUGAGCCCCACAGAGCAAGAGCUGCCAGAUUAAUGCUCCUGCCUAUGACAUGGAAAUUGUCAAAAAUAGACCUGAAUCCUUGCCAGGCCUCCCCAUGAUUUCUGUGUAGUAUGGCCUUAAAUAUAUUAGAUAAGUCAGAAGCCUAAAAUAGCUCAGCUCUUAGAAUAACAGAAUUUGGUCCCCUCCCACUUCCGUAAGUUGAAUUCUUAAUUGCUAAAUUUCAGGCUUUUUUGUUGUUGUUUAUGUAAGAAUUUCAAGGCCACAACUCCAUAUUUGAAGUAAAGUGCUCAUAAAAUUAAUUGCAAGACUUCUGAAGAGAGAUUUGCUAGGAAAAAUAAAAAGAUAUAUAAAUUUCAGUGAUGCUGAAGGUUUUGAGAAGCCAUCUGCAGCUCACAACUAGAUGAGUGACACAAUCAGAUGUGCGUAUGCAAAAAAAAGCCUGGAGACAUUGAACUAAGAUCAAAUUUAAUGUAUUAAAUAUGGUAGAAAGAAGAGAGAAUGAAAAAUAAUGUUAACAAUCUAGGUGAGGAAUUGCUGAGGAGACAAAUUAAGUAAAUCCUGUGGAAGGAAAGAAGAAAGGAGGAAAGAGGAUUGGAUGGAAGAAUCUCCACUUCUCAUAGGUGUAGUCCUUCCUUAGCCUGCUUUUUAAUGAGUGCUGCUAAAGCCCUUAGCCUGCCUGUUUACCCUUGGAGUGGAGCAAUGAACUGAAGAUAUUUGAGUGAGUUCAAGAGAGACUCAGAAGAGAAGAAUUGGAGGCAGCAAACAUAGACAGCACUUUUAAUGCUUUUCUCAUAUGCUGUAAGACAUGAAAGCAAUCUAUUGGGAUGAAAGCUGAAAGGAGAAGCGGGACAAGAGAAGAAGAGAAGCAAGAAACCAAAUACUGGGGGAUAUAUUGCACAAGUAUAACUUCAAGAAACCCAAGCCAGUGCAAACAAUUCAAAAAAUAAUGGAACCCGAAGACAGCGAACCUUCCAGGGAUGCUAUGGACAUUUAUCCCCUCUGCUAACAUUUAUGUUUCUGUAGUUGAGGUUCAGUUAUAUCACAGUUUAGACAACUCCCUAGAAACAAUGAUCCCUGUUAAAGCUGCUCCAGGAGCACAGGAAUUCCUUUGAUGAGCUCUAAGAGAUUGGUAACAAUACCUCCUGAAGGGCCGUGUUGCUAGGUAACAGCUUGUUUCCUUGGUCACAGUGAAUCCGUGGAAGACCCCCAAAAGAGGCUGCAGAUUCUUAGUGGACAGCUCUCAUAUCCCCUCCAGGGAAAAUGAUGAAAAAUGUCUUCAGAAAAAUAGCUUUAUGAAGGCAAGAGGACUUUUUGCACCUGCAAGACAUGUCUGAAAGCUCCUCAGGUCAAAACACAAGUAGUCAAGAGAUUUGUCCAUCUAAUUCAUCAUACUACUCUGAUCCAAGUGAGACCCACACUGGGUCAGCUCCAUCAAGGAGAAGAACAUUCCACCCACGUUUGGAUUCUGGAAUAUCAUCCUUGCUUCCAUCAGAUUCUUGUAAGUACCUCACUUGGCACAAGGUAGACAUGACGUUCAAGGAAGUCAACUGCGUUGCCCAAGAGUAAGAGAAGGAAUCUCUGAAGAAGAGCAACUUUUCAGACAGGUAGAGUGUGCCUUGCUCCCAAGGAAAAGAGUUCUUGAAAAAAACAAAUGGGAAACAUGGCUACAAGAAAACUGGGAAGACUGCAAGAAUUUGAACAUUUCAUUUCAGGGUUUGGGGGAUCCUUACCAAGUUGAAAAUUUUAACAGAAUUCUUAGAAGACUAAUUCGAGUUGAAACCCUCUGGUUAGUGGAUAAUUCACUGGUGGACUUAAGUGCCAUAAGAUUGCCAAGGGAUUGCUAGAGAACCCCUUUUACAGGGAGCUGCUAUUUGCUUCAGCAGGCAGAAUGCGUAGGUGGAGUGAGCUUUGGUGGCAAUGAGAGGGGCCAACAGAGGUCCUCAGGAGUGAAUUAGAUGAAGGAAAUUGAGCAUCCACAAAAAGGAAAGAGUAUUCUCCUGUUUGCCAAACUUAAAAAUGCUGGAUGGAAUCUUGAAGCUACCAGAAGAUUGCUUAUCACCAGAAACCAAUAUUUUUUCAAAAAUAUGCCUUGUAUCCUAAUGCAGUCUGUAUAGAAAGAAAGCAAUCAUCAUUGUUGCUAAAAGCUAAUAAACACAGGACAUGCAUGAUUAAAUAUUGCAGUUUAUUUUAUAUCUUUUUGCUUUUCUAAAUCAAGGCAAAAACAUGCUAACUGACAAGAAAAUCAUGGGUUUUAUACAAGGAUAACAAGUGCUGGGUUGCUUAGCUAUGAGGAAGGCUAGGCUCACUGCAUACCAGAAGAUGUACAGCGUUGGAGAAUUCAGGGAUUUUUAUCAACAAUCAAACUAUAUUUGUGGAAAUUUUGUGCAUAAGUGCCAAAGAUGGCUGACAUCGGACCACAUUCUAUUUAACUCAACUGAAUGACACCAAGCUCUCAUCCUAAAACUUAUAGUUACAUCCACCCUUCUGAAAUAUUUAAUUAUUCUCCAAUACACUGGAGGUAAUAGGUAUAAAAAGAAUGAGCAUGUGCAACUUAGUAUCUCAUAUCUAAUUUUGUGUCCCAAGUUCAUUCUUCCCCUGAAUGUCCCAUGUCUACCAGGUGCAGGAUUAUCUGGAUGGGUCAGUUCAAAACAAUUUCAGGGAAUAAAUUGUGUAGGGGACUCAAUUUUCUGAGACAGAAACAUAAUGUGAAUAACUCCUUUGUUAGAAAAUAAUUUCAGUGACAGAAAGCCUUUCAGUUCAUAAAGAAAACUUACAUAUCAACAAGCCUAGCUCCUCACUAGUCCCAGUGAAUGCUUACAUCAAUCAGCUCUACAAUAUCCAGUAAAGGACUUUCCAAUUCGCCUUUGAAUAAACUGAGGUAUUGGAAACAUCUAAGAAAAUGGUUUUUAAUUCUUCCUAAUCUUCAGGGAGUUCUUCCUUAUAUUGAGCUGAUAUCUGCCCUCUGUAACUUUCAACUAAUUAUUCAAAUCUCUCAAGUGAUUAUAAUUAAUUCCAUCUUAUAAGGAAUUUUUCUCAGCUUCCAGCCUCUUGAAAAUACUCUGAUAUUUUCUCUAAUAUUCAAGUGGAAAUGUAAAUGGGUAACGUAAGAGUCUGUGGGGUUAGGAGGGUGGAGGAAAGGUAAGGGAAAGCUAAUGAGAAAUAACCAAAGCAAGAAAAAGAAUUUUAUUUUCUUCAAGUUCUUUGUACAUCCAAAGUGGAAGAUUCCUAAAAUAAAUUCCCCAUACCACAUUUUAAAAAUUAGGUUAGCAAGCUUACUUUUUAAUUUAUUUAGAAGCCAACUACUUCCAUUUAUUAUUUCUUUCCAGAAUAGAACAAUUAUCACUAAUUGUUUGUCAUUAUAAUGCCAAACUAUGUUAAUAGAUGCCUAUUUUUUUAAAGGCUAAUUGCAAUCAUGAAACCAAAUAUCUAAUUAGUUUUAGAGCUUUGGACCACAUGCAUCAAUAUUUGAAUCAUUCAGGUGUAUAUUUGCUUUCUGCUUUUUUGUCUCUUCAAAAGAAGUAUUAUAUGCAUUCUGUUUAUAAUUUCUAAAUGGUCAUUUCAAAACUGAUUAUACGAGUUUAUACAAAUCAUACUGAAAUUUGUUGCUUAAAAAAUCUUCAUUUUUCUCUAAGCUCUCAGUGUCCUUGAGCUAUAUAUAUUUUAUGGCAAUUUUUACUUAAUAGUUUGUAUGCUAGUUAUUUUUGACAAUGACUACUAAAAUGCAAGUUUCUUCAAGGGCAGAUUCACCUUAGUUCUUCUUUAUACCCCUCAAAAACCUCAGGGUUAUUCUCAAUAAGUAUUGAGUAGGUGAGUGAACUUUGGAUGUAUACUCCUUGAAAUUAUAUUUCUGGAGCUGGAAAACUUUAAAAAAAUGUAUGUCAUGAGUCUAAAGAAAUAAACAUUAUAUGGCUGAAAAAAUACUUUGUGAAAACCAAAAAUCUCAUGGAAUCAUGAACUUAUCUAUGGGACAGAUGUUAGCCCUGAGGUUGUUCUGGGCUUCUUUUCUACCCACUUCCCAUGACCAAAUCAGUUCACUAGUCAGCAGUUCUAUCCUUCCUCUCCUUCUCCUUCCAUCUAAGGAGCUAGAGCUGAACUGCUUGGCCACUGAUUGCUGACAUGCUGAGUUUUCUACAGCUGGAGUUUUCAAGAGGGCUUUGAUUUUGCUUUCCCCAGUUUUCCUUCUUCCACACUUGAAAAGUGGUAAGGGUACCAGCUUUCUGUCUAUCUCUGACUCUCUCUCUCUCUUUCACACACACACACACACACACACACACACACACACACACUUUUUUUUUUCUUCCACCCUCCUGCACAGCAGGAGACCUUGCCUUGAUCUUUGAAGGUCUACAGCAAGUGGUCUAGGCUAACUCAGUGCUGGGCAAAUGGAGCAAAAACUCUUUUCUGCUUCCUUGCCUCCAUGUCUUUCAGAGCUAGCAGAUACAGCUUUUGUUCUAUAGGAGUGAUUCUUUCUAAAUGUCAGCUCAACAGGAUGAUGGUCACUCUUGUAUAUCACUUAGGCAUGAGUUCUGUUGAAUCCCA